AUUGAACGCUGGCGGCAGGCCUAACACAUGCAAGUCGAGCGAGCGGCGGACGGGUGAGUAAUGUAUGGGAAACUGCCCGAUGGAGGGGGAUAACUACUGGAACCGGUAGCUAAUACCGCAUACCAUCGGUUGAGCCAGGACGUGAUUAGCUCGUAGGUGGGGUAAAGGCUCACCUAGGCGACGAUCUCUAGCUGGUCUGAGAGGAUGACCAGCCACACUGGAACUGAGACACGGCCCAGACUCCGACGGGAGGCAGCAGUGGGGAAUAUUGCACAAUGGGCGAAAGCCUGAGGCAGCAAGGCCGCGUGGUUGAAGAAGGCCUUAGGGUUGUAAAGUACUUUCAGCGGGGAGGCGUUACCCGCAGAAGAAGCACCGGCUAACUCCGUGCCAGCAGCCGCGGUAAUUC
rnacentral:rRNA from 1 species